rfam:Apaloderma vittatum contig8034, whole genome shotgun sequence.
CCAAAGGCUCUUUUCAGAGCCACCCAUAUUCUCCCAAGAAGAGCUG